CCUGACUGCUAUCGGAUUGAUACUAAGCCAUGUGAGUUAUUGUAGCAAUACAAAGCAGACGGCUCAGUAACACGUAGUCAAUCUACCCUAUGGACAGGGAUAACCUCGGGAAACUGAGAAUAAUACCUGAUAGAUCAUAAUGCCUGGAACGGUUUAUGGUUGAAAUAAUUUAUUGCCGUAGGAUGGGACUGCGACCUAUCAGUUUGUUGGUGAGGUAAUGGCUCACCAAGACUAUUACAGGUACGGGCUCUGAGAGGAGUAGCCCGGAGAUGGGUACUGAGACACGGACCCAGGCCCUAUGGGGCGCAGCAGGCGAGAAAACUUUGCAAUGUACGAAAGCACGACAAGGUUAAUCCGAGUGUUCUCUUUUAAAGAGAUCUUUUGUCAGUCCUAAAAACACUAAUGAAUAAGGGGUGGGCAAGUUCUGGUGUCAGCCGCCGCGGUAAAACCAGCACCUCAAGUGGUCAGGAGGAUUAUUGGGCCUAAAGCAUCCGUAGCCUGCUGUAUUAGUUUUCGGUUAAAUCCAUGUGCUCAACGCAUGGGCUGCCGGAAAUACUGUACAGCUAGGGAGUGGGAGAGGUAGACGGUACUCGGUAGGAGGGGGUAAAAUCCUUUGAUCUAUUGAUGACCACCUGUGGCGAAGGCGGUCUACCAGAACACGUUCGACGGUGAGGGAUGAAAGUUGGGGGAGCAAACCGGAUUAGAUACCCGGGUAGUCCCAACUGUAAACUAUGCAAACUCGAUGAUGCAUUGAUUCUAAAUCAAUGCAGUGUCGCAGGGAAGCCGUUAAGUUUGCCGCCUGGGAAGUACGUACGCAAGUAUGAAACUUAAAGGAAUUGGCGGGGGAGCACCACAAGGGGUGAAGCCUGCGGUUC
rnacentral:rRNA from 1 species